GGGUGUGGGUCCAAAAUCUUCAGAGUAUUCUUUUAAAAGUAUUUAUGUAAACUGUCUAAAUUUGAUGUAUCAUUGAUUUGUUGUUUAAAUGAGUUGAAAUGUGACUUGACUUGAGACUCGUUAGUCUCGACUUGAGACUGGACUUGUGACUUGCAAAUCAGUGACUUGAUCCCACUUCUGCUAAUUAGUUUGGGGGCAGAAGAGUUGAGGGGUGCGCUGCACAGGUCUUGGUGAACUUUUUAAUGUGAAUGCCUUUGCAGUUUAUGAUAAAAACUAAUGAUAUAGUCUUUGGAGAAGGGGAUGACUCAUUGAAGAGUGAGUAGAUUUUGCUGAUUGAAUUGACUCUGAGAUUUGCACUGAGAUUUUCAAUCGGUUAUGGUUUAAACUUUGAUAUAAGACUGUGUUUAGUGUAUUAUAAUGAAAACACAUUGUUCAAAUUAUUAAAUUUAAAAUUGUGUUCCAGGACUGUACAUCAUCAGAUUUCAAAGGGGAUCAAGAAAUGGCUAUACUCAUAUUGUGUCUAUAAUACAAAUUAGCAAUGCGUUUGAUAGAAAAGGGUUAAUACUUUAAUGAUCUACACAUUGUAUUUGCUUUUUAAGAGGGUUUUAUUAUGAGGGUUCAUAGUCUGUAUUAGUGUUUAGGUACGGCAUCAAUACAAAACUAUGUUCAAGCAUUUACAAAACUAAUGAAUGGUGCAUGUUAGUUAACUGAGAAUCUGUUAACUAGUCUUGGUGACUCAUAAAUAAGUUUCCUCUUCAACAGAUGAGAUGGAUCACAUUGGCGAUCACAAUGGAGAGAUCACAAUGGAGAGAGUGAGGAAGAGAAAACGAGUCACUCCACAACAGGAUGCAGAGCAACACAUUUGCUUGAAAAUUGAUAAGGCUGGACUCGAAGAGCGUUUUAUCAAUCUGCACAAAGGUCGAGGUGUUUUUGCUACUGAGGAUUUCAGAAAAGGAGACUUUGUGCUUGAAUACCGUGGCAACCUUCUCAAACAGGACAGUCCCCUUGAUUUGAGGCACUAUGAUGACACUGAAGCAGUGUUCCUGUUUGAUUUUAAGUGGAAAGGGAAAAGUUAUUGUCUUGAUGCGUCAGUUGAAGACAAGUCACUGGGAAGGCUUGUGAACGAUGACAACAAAAAGCCAAACUGCAAAAUGAAGACGAUUGGUAUUGGUGGGAUGCCACAUCUAUGCUUGUUUGCAAUAAAGGACAUUACCCCAGGUGAAGAAGUAACUUACAACUAUGGGAAUGCAGACUGGCCUUGGCGCAAGCAGCAGAGGUCAUCGCCUGAAGUCAGCAAGCACACUGUGGAUGAGAGCGACAGAUCUCAGCAGAGGUCAUCGCCUGAAGUCAGCAAGCACACUGUGGAUGAGAGCGACAGAUCUCAGCAGAGGUCAUCGCCUGAAGUCAGCAAGCACACUGUGGAUGAGAGCGACAGAUCUCAGCAGAGGUCAUCGCCUGAAGUCAGCAAGCACACUGUGGAUGAGAGCGACAGAUCUCAGCAGAGGUCAUCGCCUGAAGUCAGCAAGCACACUGUGGAUGAGAGCGACAGAUCUCAGCAGAGGUCAUCGCCUGAAGUCAGCAAGCACACUGUGGAUGAGAGCGACAGAUCUCAGCAGAGGUCAUCGCCUGAAGUCAGCAAGCACACUGUGGAUGAGAGCGACAGAUCUCAGCAGAGGUCAUCGCCUGAAGUCAGCAAGCACACUGUGGAUGAGAGCGACAGAUCUCAGCAGAGGUCAUCGCCUGAAGUCAGCAAGCACACUGUGGAUGAGAGCGACAGAUCUCAGCAGAGGUCAUCGCCUGAAGUCAGCAAGCACACUGUGGAUGAGAGCGACAGAUCUCAGCAGAGGUCAUCGCCUGAAGUCAGCAAGCACACUGUGGAUGAGAGCGACAGAUCUCAGCAGAGGUCAUCGCCUGAAGUCAGCAAGCACACUGUGGAUGAGAGCGACAGAUCUCAGCAGAGGUCAUCGCCUGAAGUCAGCAAGCACACUGUGGAUGAGAGCGACAGAUCUCAGCUGUCAUCUGGUCCUGUGGAUACAUCAAUCAUGGAAGAUAAGAUCAGCUUCAACAGCAGCAAUCCUGGGGCAAAUAACAGCCACUUCUCAUCUUUCAAUUCUCGAAUGGCCAAACUGAGUAAGCACCAUGAGGAAUGCUUCAAUCGACACAAAAUUGCAGAGGAGCAGCGAAAUGCUGAAGAAAAACGACGUACUGCGAUUCUGUUAAAGCGUGCACGGCUGGCACGGGAACUGGCAGAACUGGAUGCUCUUCUGACUUCACAAUCUCCCUUGGGUGAUGCCAUAGAGGACGAGUGUGAUGAUAUUCAACCACUAGCAUCAGACGCUCCAUCUGCGGAUGAAUCCACAAUGGCCAGUGAUCUAGUGGACAGUGGAGAGCCAUCAGCAACAACAGAGGCAAGAGCUCCUGUUAUGUGUUCAUCAUCAUCAUCAUCAUCAGUUUGUCCGAAUUCUGAGGAUUUUUCAGCGGAUGACUCCAAAUGGAAGUCAUUACGACAGAGAAAGGCUGCUGCAUAUGAGGAAAAAUCCCCCGAUGAGUCUGAUAACACAGACUACAAUGAUGCAGACUAUGUUCCAGACACUGAAGGAAGUUACUCUGAACCUGAUGAGGACACAGAACUCCAUCUAGUUGCAAAAAACCCUCUGCUAUCUCUGCGAGAUCCCCUUUUAUCUUCAGCAACCCAAGCUAUUGAUUCUGGAAUUCCUGUGAAAAACCCAACCAGUGACAACCCAAAGCAACAAAACUCCGACACUCCAAGGAAGAGAAAGAGCUCAUCUCCUCAUUUGGAGAAGAGCAAAUCGAGCACUCCAAAGAAAAGCAGAGUCCAACAUCUUUCUGACUCAAUCAAAGUAUGCCCUCCCUCAAAGUCUGGAAGUCGUCGAGUGUAUAACAAAAGAAACUACUGUCUCUAUUGCCUCAAGCCUUCUUCAAAAAUUGCACGACACCUGGAAGCUGUGCACGGAAAUGUAGAAGAGGUUGCCAGAGCAGUUCUGUAUCCAAAGAACUCAAAAGAGAGACGCAACGCAUUAAAUAUUCUGAGACGGCGAGGCAACUUUGCCUAUAAUGCUCAAGUUGUAAGUGAAGGGGCAGGAGAGCUCCAGGCCUGCUACAGACCUCGAAAAGACACAUCUGCUGUUGAAUUUAUUCAUUGUUUUCAUUGUCAAGGACUCUAUGCCAAGAAGACUUUGUGGAAGCACAUGAAAAUCUGUCCAGCACGAGAAGAAACCGAUGAUGAAUCCACGACUGGGAAGCAGCGAGUUCGAUCCAAAUGUGCGCUUAAAACUGCUGUUGUUCAAGAAAUUAGUGAGGGCUUGAAGAGUGUGAUUUCCUGCAUGAGCUACGAUGAGGUCACUCGGACCAUCCAAAAUGACAAACUUCUCUUGCAGUUUGGACAACACCUCUUUGACCUAAAUGGGUCAAGAAAGAACAGACAUGACUUGAUAAGACAAAGACUUCGAGAACUUGGGCGACUAUUAGUAGUUGCUCAGAAGAAAACUCCGAUACGGAAAGCAGAGGAACUCAUCUAUCCAUCCAACUUCUACAGUGUGAUAUCUGCAGUGAAAGAGUUGGCUGGGUACAACACAGACAACAACACAUUUCGCACACCUUCCUUGGCGCUAAAAGUUGGCCACAGUCUGGGUGUACUUUGUGAGCUGGUAGAGACUGAUAAUCUGUCCACAGUUGACAGGGACAACAGCCUGGUGGCAUAUGCUCGUGAAUUCAAGACCAUUAAAAAUUUCAAGUGGAAGGCACUGAUAACCAGAGGCGCAACAACCACUAUGAAAGAGCUGAAAUGGAAUGCACCACAAAUUUUACCUUUCACUGAAGAUGUCCUAUGUUUGGACUCACACAUGGAGAAGGUUAAAGACGAUGCUGAAAGAAAGCUGAAAGUUUCUCCCUCUGCAUACAGCUAUGCAACACUUGCCAAAGUGACGCUGGCACAGGUGAUCAUUUUCAACAGAAGAAGAGAAGGAGAGGUGUCAAGAAUGGAGCUGGCCACUUUCAUGGCAAGGAAGAAGUCAGAACUCAACAAGGACAUGGAAGCCUGUCUCACACCUCUUGAGAAGAAGAUGUGCGAUUUCUUUACCAGAGUAGAAAUCAGGGGAAAACGAGGAAGAGGAGUCCCUGUGCUGCUAAAACCAUCAAUGCUCUCAGCUAUGGAGCUCCUUGCUGAAACUCGUGAGAUGUGUGGAGUCCUCAAAGAGAACGUUUAUAUGUUCGCUCGACCAGGUGCCUUGUCUGCGUACAGAGGGGAGAAUGCAUCCAGAAGUUUGCAAGGGAAAGUGGUGCAAAAAAUCCAGAGGCUUUAACAUCAACAAGGCUGCGAAAGCACAUCGCUACAAUGUCUCAAGUACUCAAUCUUCAAGAAAAUGAGUCGGACCAACUUGCAGACUUUCUGGGUCACGAUAUUCGUGUGCACAGACAGUAUUACCGCCUGCCACAGGGAACACUACAGCUUGCCAAAAUGAGCAAAGUGCUUUUGGCAGUGGAGAAGGGGACCCUCUCCCAGUAUAAAGGCCAAGCUCUUGACAACAUUGAGAUUGACCCUGAAGAAAAAGUUGACUGUUCAGAAGAACCAGACAUAUCAAGUGAUGAGGAUGAGCCUGCCGAUGUCAGCUCAGCCACAGAGACCACAGCUGAAGAUGAACGUGAGGCAGAGGUGGCAUCUCCACUUCUUUCCACUUUCUCUGAUGACACUCUCAAUCAAGAGAUUUCACAGACACAUCUGAAAAGAGACACCUCCAAACGUAAGUGGGAAGACAGUGAGGUACGUGCUGUGGAAAGACACAUGAUGGGCUUCAUACAUACUUGCAAGGUACCACAAAAGAUGGACUGUCUGCGAUGUAUCAGGGCAGAGCCCGAUGCACUGAGAGACCGCAACUGGACUGGUGUAAAAAAUUACGUCAGAAAUCGAAUCACUGCUAUGAAGAGAAAGGCUUGUGCUAAACAAUAAGAGCCAGUAUAUGUUGCUUUUCAGAUCAGCAGAUCAUCGUUUUCUCUUCUGGACUAAACAGACUUGUUAUCUGUUACCUGUAUGUUUCUAGCCACAGAAA